rnacentral:rRNA from 1 species
CCAGAGGUUAGUAAUUUAGAGAAGUGUUACCCGUGCUGGACCGUGUAUAAGUCUCCUGGAAUGGAGCGUCAUAGAGGGUGAGAAUCCCGUCUUUGACACGGACUCCCAGUGCAUUGUGGUGCGCUCUCGAAGAGUCGAGUUGUUUGGGAAUGCAGCUCUAAUGGGUGGUAAAUUCCAUCUAAAGCUAAAUAUUGGCGAGAGACCGAUAGCGAACAAGUACCGUGAGGGAAAGAUGAAAAGAACUUUGGAAAGAGAGUUAAACAGUACGUGAAAUUGCUGAAAGGGAAACGCUUGAAGUCAGUCGCGUUGGCUAGGGAUCAACCUUGCUUUAGUGAGGCGUACUUCCUAGUUGACGGGUCAGCAUCAGUUUCGAUCACUGGAAAAAGGCUUGGGGAAUGUGGCAUCUCCGGAUGUGUUAUAGCCCCUUGUCGUAUACAGUGGUUGGGACUGAGGAACUCAGCACGCCGCACGGGCGGGUUUCGACCACGUUCGUGCUUAUGAUGCUGGCAUACUGGCUUUAAGCGACCCGUCUUGAAACACGGACCAAAGAGUGUU